AGCUCGGAAUGUUCGACCACAGCUCGGGCACAAACGGCCCAUGUGAACAUUUGGGGUGGAUUCGCUAAAUGGCUUUUCAGAAGCUUAUAGCUUCAUACCUCUGUCAUUAGCACAUGUCAUCACCACUCCAUUAGUGGCCAUCCCAUUGGUGGAGGCAGGAUUUCCACUGGUUGCCCCAACAUGUUUCUAUGGAAGUCAGUAUCAUGACUGGAAAUUCAGCUUUGUUACAAAGGAUACCUCCCUGAGUAAGGAAGAGUGAAGAUGUAUAUUUGAAAUGAAGGUGAUGUAAAAAGAAGAGAUCAAUAAAAAUAAGAUUGAAAACAAUGUAACCAGGGUAAG